rnacentral:rRNA from 1 species
UAGGGAAUAUUGGACAAUGGGCGCAAGCCUGAUCCAGCCAUGCCGCGUGAGUGAUGAAGGCCUUAGGGUUGUAAAGCUCUUUCGCCAGGGACGAUAAUGACGGUACCUGGAUAAGAAGCCCCGGCUAACUUCGUGCCAGCAGCCGCGGUAAUACGAAGGGGGCUAGCGUUGUUCGGAAUCACUGGGCGUAAAGCGUAUGCAGGCGGAUCGUUAAGUCAGGGGUGAAAUCCCGAGGCUCAACCUCGGAACUGGCUUUGAUACUGGCGAUCUUCGAGUCCGGGAGAGGUGAGUGGAACUGCGAGUGUAGAGGUGAAAUUCGUAGAUAUUCACAAGAACACCAGUGGCGAAGGCGGCUCACUGGCCCGGUACUGACGCUGAGAUACGAAAGCGUGGGGAGCAAACA